rnacentral:rRNA from 1 species
UACGUAGGGGGCGAGCGUUAUUCGGAAUUAUUGGGCGUAAAGGGCGCGUAGGCGGCCUGGCAAGUGGAAGGUGAAAUCCCUCGGCUUAACCGAGGAACUGCCUCCCAAACUGCUUGGCUUGAGACCAGGAGAGGUGAGUGGAAUUCCCAGUGUAGCGGUGAAAUGCGUAGAUAUUGGGAGGAACACCAGUGGCGAAGGCGGCUCACUGGACUGGUACUGACGCUGAGGCGCGAAAGCGUGGGGAGCAAACGGG